AAUCUGGGGUCCCCGACCCCCGAGUUGUAAUUUGGAGAGGCAUCUUCGGGAGGAGCGCCAGCCCAUGUUCCUUGGAACAGGACGUCGCAGAGGGUGAGAAUCCCGUGCCAGGCCGGCUGCCUCCCCCCAUGUGAAGUGCCUUCGACGAGUCGAGUUGUUUGGGAAUGCAGCUCCAAGUGGGUGGUAAAUUUCAUCUAAAGCUAAAUACCGGCGAGAGACCGAUAGCGCACAAGUAGAGUGAUCGAAAGAUGAAAAGCACUUUGAAAAUAGAGUCAAAAAGUACGUGAAAUUGUUGAAAGGGAAGCGCUUGAGACCAGACUCAGAUUGAGGCAAACAUCUAGCCCCGCGGGGCGGUGCACUUGCCUCGAGCUGGGCCAGCAUCAGUUGGCGUGGCGGGACAAAGGCGCGGGGAAUGUGGCACCCCCCGGGGUGGAACUUAUGUAGCCCCGCGCUCAAUGCCGCCUACGUCGACUGAGGACCGCGCUUCGGCUAGGAUGCUGGCCUAAUGGCCUUCAGCGACCCGUCUUGAAACACGGA
rnacentral:rRNA from 1 species